GGGCUUUCUAUCAUAUCCAUAACACCUGUGCACUUGUUGGAUGAUCUAAAGACAUAGGGUAAAACCUAAAGUCAAUAGUCAUCCACUUACACUAAACAAUAAUGUAACAAAUGUAGUCUUAUUAUAACAAAAUAAAACUUUCAACAACGGAUCUCUUGGCUCUCGCAUCGACGAAGAACGCAGCGAAAUGCGAUAAGUAAUGUGAAUUGCAGAAUUCAGUGAAUCAUCGAAUCGUUGAACGCACCUUGCGCUCCUUGGUAUUCCGAGGAGCAUGCCUGUUUGAGUGUCAUGAAAACCCUCAACCUUAGAUUGGUUAUUUGACCUUUCUUUGGCUUGGAUUUGGACGUUUGCCGAUGUCAAGUCGGCUCGUCUUAAAAGUAAUAGCUGGAUCUGUCUCGCGACAUGGUUUGACUUGGCGUAAUAAGUAUUUCGCUAAGGACAUCUUCGGAUGGCCCUGUUGCAGGACUAAAGACCGCUUUCUAAUCCAUUGAUCUUCGGAUUAAUAUUCAUAACAUCUGGCCUCAAAUCAGGUAGGACUACCCGCUGAACUUAAGCAUAUCAAUAAGCGGAGGAAAAGAAACUAACAAGGAUUCCCCUAGUAACGGCGAGUGAAGCGGGAAGAGCUCAAAUUUGAAAUCUGCUAGCCUUCGGUUGCCCGAGUUGUAAUCUAGAGAAGUGUUUUCCGCGUUGGCCCAUGUACAAGUCCCUUG
rnacentral:rRNA from 1 species